GAUUAAGUUAUUAAGGGCGCACGGUGGAUGCCUUGGCACUAGAAGCCGAUGAAGGACGUUACUAACGACGAUAUGCUUUGGGGAGCUGUAAGUAAGCUUUGAUCCAGAGAUUUCCGAAUGGGGAAACCCAGCAUGAGUUAUGUCAUGUUAUCGAUAUGUGAAUACAUAGCAUAUCAGAAGGCACACCCGGAGAACUGAAACAUCUUAGUACCCGGAGGAAGAGAAAGAAAAUUCGAUUCCCUUAGUAGCGGCGAGCGAAACGGGAAGAGCCCAAACCAACAAGCUUGCUUGUUGGGGUUGUAGGACACUCUAUACGGAGUUACAAAGGACGACAUUAGACGAAUCAUCUGGAAAGAUGAAUCAAAGAAGGUAAUAAUCCUGUAGUCGAAAAUGUUGUCUCUCUUGAGUGGAUCCUGAGUACGACGGAGCACGUGAAAUUCCGUCGGAAUCUGGGAGGACCAUCUCCUAAGGCUAAAUACUCUCUAGUGACCGAUAGUGAACCAGUACCGUGAGGGAAAGGUGAAAAGCACCCCGGAAGGGGAGUGAAAUAGAACCUGAAACCGUGUGCUUACAAGUAGUCAGAGCCCGUUAAUGGGUGAUGGCGUGCCUUUUGUAGAAUGAACCGGCGAGUUACGAUUUGAUGCAAGGUUAAGCAGUAAAUGUGGAGCCGUAGCGAAAGCGAGUCUGAAUAGGGCGUUUAGUAUUUGGUCGUAGACCCGAAACCAGGUGAUCUACCCUUGGUCAGGUUGAAGUUCAGGUAACACUGAAUGGAGGACCGAACCGACUUACGUUGAAAAGUGAGCGGAUGAACUGAGGGUAGCGGAGAAAUUCCAAUCGAACCUGGAGAUAGCUGGUUCUCUCCGAAAUAGCUUUAGGGCUAGCCUCAAGUGAUGAUUAUUGGAGGUAGAGCACUGUUUGGACGAGGGGCCCCUCUCGGGUUACCGAAUUCAGACAAACUCCGAAUGCCAAUUAAUUUAACUUGGGAGUCAGAACAUGGGUGAUAAGAUCCGUGUUCGAAAGGGAAACAGCCCAGACCACCAGCUAAGGUCCCAAAAUAUAUGUUAAGUGGAAAAGGAUGUGGCGUUGCCCAGACAACUAGGAUGUUGGCUUAGAAGCAGCCAUCAUUUAAAGAGUGCGUAAUAGCUCACUAGUCGAGUGACACUGCGCCGAAAAUGUACCGGGGCUAAACAUAUUACCGAAGCUGUGGAUUGUCCUUUGGACAAUGGUAGGAGAGCGUUCUAAGGGCGUUGAAGCAUGAUCGUAAGGACAUGUGGAGCGCUUAGAAGUGAGAAUGCCGGUGUGAGUAGCGAAAGACGGGUGAGAAUCCCGUCCACCGAUUGACUAAGGUUUCCAGAGGAAGGCUCGUCCGCUCUGGGUUAGUCGGGUCCUAAGCUGAGGCCGACAGGCGUAGGCGAUGGAUAACAGGUUGAUAUUCCUGUACCACCUAUAAUCGUUUUAAUCGAUGGGGGGACGCAGUAGGAUAGGCGAAGCGUGCGAUUGGAUUGCACGUCUAAGCAGUAAGGCUGAGUAUUAGGCAAAUCCGGUACUCGUUAAGGCUGAGC
rnacentral:rRNA from 1 species